rnacentral:misc_RNA from 1 species
GGCAAUGAAGAUCCUGGACCCGAGGCUUCCGACGGUGCCACUCCACGAAGUAAUGCAUGUGUUCUAUGUCGCAAUGCUGUGCGUGGAAGAGCAGAGUGUGGAGCGCCCGACCAUGAGGGAGGUUGUUCAGAUACUGACCGAGCUGCCAGAGCCGGCAGGGUCGGAGCUGGAAGAGGAGUCGCCUGAUGGCGACACAUCUGGCACGGGAGUGCUCGCCGGUGGCGAGGUUGGUGACGACAAUCCGCGAUCACCGACAGCUGAUCUGCUCGGCAUUUGAAUUGGUGUGCAUUUUGUUUGAUUUUGAUGGGUACCUCUUUAGAUAGGGCCUGUAUGUUGGUUGGGAAUUUUGUACAGCUGAAUUUG